GAUUUAGAUUUAUUAUGUUAUCUCUUAUUGGAGUGGGAAUCAAUAAUUUAAACAUUAUUGUUUUUCUUCAUCAAAGGUUUUAAUUACUGUACAAUCGGUAUGUGUUGUUCUACUCUAUCAAACAAACUAUUGGAGAUGAAGGAGAAAGUAAAAUAAAAAAUCAUUCAUACGUAGCUCGACAUUUUUCCAAAAUGUACAGUGACUCAUAAUUCUAGAAUCGCACUUUUAUUAAGCAUCAUGAACUUUUAAUAGCAGACUAUCUGUACUUUUAUUUCAAAACACAGCCGAACUAUGUAAUAUUACAUUUCUAUCAUACUGUCAAGAUGGAUGAAAGGGAAAGCAAUAAUAAGAAAGUGUUCCUUUUUUAGAAAAGACAUUUCGUCAUUUAUUUUUUGUCAUUACAGGAUACUCUUGUAUACGAACUCCAGUCGGAUAGACUUGGUUUUGCCAAGGGCUUCCGUAAGAACCUCGGUGCACGUUGGCCUCAUUUGGUUGAGAGGAAACCAGAAACGGAAACAUGUCCUCCUGAGCGAAAGAUCAGCUCAAAACCAUCUACAUUUAUUGACCUGACGGAGACAUAGAAGAAUGAACAUUUCUGAUAUACGGCAAAACUAUAUGAAGAGAAUUUCGAACUACAAUCACUUGAUGCCAAAUAAGAAAUACACGGUUGAUUUGCCGCUCGACAAAGGCGCCUCAAGGGAUUUGAGAGUUCCGAUAAAGAGUAAAAAAAAUUAAAUUCCAGACCCGUGUCAAGCUAAAAGAAAAGUACAAAUCUAGCAAGAACAAAUGGCUCUUCUAGAAACUCCGUUUCUAGGCGACAAAAAAUAAACAUUUAAAAAAAAACGACGACGUGACUACCAUUUAUUUUAAGUUUUCAUCAAUAUUUAUUAACACCUCAACAUAAAAAAAGCAUCAUAAAUAAU
rnacentral:lncRNA from 1 species